ensembl:lincRNA
GGCCUGACUGCAAAAUCUUACCUCUCCCCUCUGCACUGGUGCAGAAUUACAACAUCUGUCUCCUCACAGAAUUUGAGGUGACAGACAGUCCAGCUCUGGGGGCAGAAGAAGAAAGAUGCGUGGAAAUGCAAACAGAAGGUUAAGUAUGGAAAUUUCUAUUGAACAAGAGCUGCAAACACCAUCCACCACGAGGACGAGAGUGACUACUACAGCUACUUGUUGGAAAGCACUCCCAGGCAGACACUCUCGAUGGAUGGGAACUGGCACAUGAGAUUAAACACAUUCCAUGGGGAAAGCUGAGUGGAAGGAAGUACGAUGGUGAGUACGGCAUAAACUAGCUCUUCAAAAGAGAAA